UACGUAGGGGGCUAGCGUUGUCCGGAAUCAUUGGGCGUAAAGCGCGUGUAGGCGGUCCGGUAAGUCCGCUGUGAAAGUCGGGGGCUCAACCCUCGAAUGCCGGUGGAUACUGUCGGGCUAGAGUGCGGAAGAGGCGAGUGGAAUUCCUGGUGUAGCGGUGAAAUGCGCAGAUAUCAGGAGGAACACCAAUUGCGAAGGCAGCUCGCUGGGACGUUACUGACGCUUAGACGCGAAAGCGUGGGGAGCAAACAGG
rnacentral:rRNA from 1 species